CUUCCAACACUCUGAAUGGAAAGCGGGUGUAGAGUAAAGCAGAAAAAUAAACGACUCUAUCUCGACCUGUAUGCCUCAGUCUCGGAUGAAAUGGGAGAGAAGAGGAGGGGGAGGGAGGAGAAGGAAGAAAGCAGAUUGUACACCGACGGUUCGGUCACGAUGCCGACGACCAGAAAAAGGCAUUCCAGAUUGUAUCUCUCGAUGGAGAAGAGCCAGAACGAUUCGAAG